GUGGGGAAUAUUGGACAAUGGGCGCAAGCCUGACGCAGCCAUGCCGCGUGAAUGAUGAAGGUCUUAGGAUUGUAAAAUUCUUUCACCGGGGACGAUAAUGACGGUACCCGGAGAAGAAGCCCCGGCUAACUUCGUGCCAGCAGCCGCGGUAAUACGAAGGGGGCUAGCGUUGCUCGGAAUUACUGGGCGUAAAGGGCGCGUAGGCGGACAGUUUAGUCAGAGGUGAAAGCCCAGGGCUCAACCUUGGAAUUGCCUUUGAUACUGGCUGUCUUGAGUACGGGAGAGGUGAGUGGAACUCCGAGUGUAGAGGUGAAAUUCGUAGAUAUUCGGAAGAACACCAGUGGCGAAGGCGACUCACUGGCCCGUUACUGACGCUGAGGCGCGAAAGCGUGGGGAGCAAACAGGAUUAGAAACCCUUGUAGUCC
rnacentral:rRNA from 1 species